ensembl:lncRNA
AGUCUUUAGUGCACUUCUCCAAAACGCGAAUUCCAUGUGUCGUUGGUGGCUGUAGGUGGACCAAUGCAGAGAAACAACUAUGUUUCUACACAACAUACAUUUGUAACAAGUGGAUGACCCCUCGUUCCCAAUGAAUGAUUACGUCUGAGGAAGUCGCCGUGCAUUAUUCCCGACUGUUUCCCAGAAAGAAUGAAGAAAUGGUGGAAUUUUUUGGUAAGUCACAGCCUCCUGUGCUUUCCCUAUGAGUGUGGAGGCGGGGCACUUCAGUCCAAGACUCGUCCACCGAAAAUAACCUGCAUGAGGGAGGGAAGAGACUUCCAGAGAAAAGUGAGAGAGAGUAGAGGGAGGAGGAAAGGAUAGUGCCCGAAAAAGCGGGGAGGGAGAGAAGAAGAAGAAGAACGGAGUGCCUGCGCUGCGAUGGAAUAAAAACUGCGCAAUUUUAAAUCCUAUCUCCGCUGCUCUUCCAGCGCUGGCCAGCGGCUGCAGCGCAGCCACACGCCACCCGAUGUCUCCUGGACAUGCGAACACGUUUCGUCCAGCUUGCGUGGAUUUCCUCGUCCUUUACCACUGGCUGUUCGUUUAGACAACAAUUGUGUGACAAUUUCUUUGAUAGUCUUUGAGCUACAUGGCAAACGUUUUGGAGAAGAAUUGGCAGAGACAAGCCUCUGUGACGGCCACAUCUUUGCUUCGGUUUCAUAACGUAUCUGCGUGUGUAGAAGUGCAUCCUCACGCCGUCAUUUCAAACAUGCGUAUCGAUUCGGAAUGCAUAAUUAAACCUUCUUACAUGACCACGCUCGUGCUGCGUGACUCUCCAGGCGUCCAUUCUGGUGGGAAGAGGAGAAUGCCUACCAUAAUCGUCUUUUGGGAUGUAUCACUGGACAAUUUAACGUUAUGGAGAAGGGGCACGGCACCUCCCAGUCACACUCUGCUUUUGGCAGCAGAGAAAUGCAACCAAACAUGAAUGCUGAUGAACUGGCUGGGCAGCCACAGCACAAGGUCAGAGAGUUUGUCCAUGGAUCACGGCCACCAAUCAUGGAGUCUCUCGAGCAACUGAGUGGCAGACCAAAUGGCCAAUCAGCUUUCGGAGAGGAGUCCUCCCUCCCUCUGCUGUGUUUGUCUCUCUGUCUCCCCCGGUCCACCGGGCUGCUCCCUGCCCCUCCCCAGGCAGAGACCACCAUGCUGGGCAGGACCACAGCUCACCCCAAACCACAUGAUGUGAAGACAAGUAGUCUAUAUUCAAGCAUUGACUUCCAGCCAAAACAGCAAAGGACUUCUGAACUAUAGAACCAAUCUGUUACUUAUCUGGCACCAAGUCUGGACCAGAACUGUACCAGGACCAGUUGCCAUACCAGAUGUCUUUUUUUUUUUGCCCGAUUCAGUUAACCGUUCCUCACGGUCCUCUAGCUGUCCGUUCAGUGUCUACGGUCAGAACAAACUCCUGUGUCCAUACACAGUCCUGGCUCUGUAGAUGGGACACCUAGUGGCUCUGACCAAGUCAAACAAUCCCAGCCAAUCAAUACACGUGCUUAGGGAGGGGUGUUAUUUGAUUGGCUGCUGAAAUGGAAACGCAGACUGCAUCUUUAAUGACAUUCCAUGUUUUACACACCCGACGGACCAAACCCUUGAUGGUGAAACAUGCACAUUUCUAAUAAAAAUCCUCUGAUCCACAUCCGUGUGUGUGUGUGUGUGUGUGUGUGUGUGUUUGUGUGUGUGUGUGUGUCUGUGUAUGACAAUGUAAGCAGCUAAUCACCUGUUCAGUGCAGCUGUUCACAUGCACUUCCAUUCAGUCAGUAAUGGCUGCCUCCUAAGCAGAUUCCAGUGGAGGUUAGACAGGAACAGGUCAGUGGGCAUCAGUGAAGCCACCCCAGCGGAGGCAACUAGGAGUGACUGUGGGCACCUGGCGGCUCGGGUGUAGUCUGUCCUCUGACCUCUCCUAACCUCAGUUCUCUAAGCUUCACCUCUGACCCUGUCCGUUCCCAUGCACUAAUUUGGCAGACACUUCUAUCCACAGUCUGACCUCCAAGCGAGGCUCUGUAGAAACGCAACAACAAGUGCGUCAAGGAGAAGCUCCAACCCUCUGGCAGCUCCAUCCUGCCCAGACACCCCCUCACCCCCCCCAGAUCCUCCCCGGCACCGGCCCGGGUCGCCUGCCGUAUUCAGGCAGGAGCAGGUCAGCUGAGGGCCAGGCCAGGGGGUCCUGCCAAGGCGCCUAUCCAUCACGUCCAGCCCCGCGGUCAGGGAGCGGUCUGAUGGAGAGGUUAGUUUGUCAGGGAGUUUAAGGCCACUUAUUACGUCAGUAACGAGAUGGGGUUUAAUUAGGGGAGCGGGGAGUUCCACUGAUAGGCUGCAAACCUCAGGGAAAAGGAUGUUGGCGG